CAGUAGCCACGGUAAUACGUAGGGUGCAAGCGUUAAUCGGAAUUACUGGGCGUAAAGCGUGCGCAGGCGGUUUGUUAAGACAGAUGUGAAAUCCCCGGGCUCAACCUGGGAACUGCAUUUGUGACUGGCAAGCUAGAGUCUGGCAGAGGGGGGUGGAAUUCCGCGUGUAGCAGUGAAAUGCGUAGAUAUGCGGAGGAACACCGAUGGCGAAGGCAGCCCCCUGGGCCAACACUGACGCUCAUGCACGAAAGCGUGGGGAGCAAACAGGAUUAGAUACCUCUGUAGUCCCUGUCUCUUAUAC
rnacentral:rRNA from 1 species